rnacentral:ncRNA from 2 species
CGACGCCGUGCGGGAGAGUUCCGGGCACCGUAUGCACAGUGAACCGUGUAUGUGGGAGUCCGGGCGCCGAAGGAGCAACACCUCCCCGUCAAUCUCUCAGGCAGACAGGACCGUGCGGGCUCC